CGGAAACCAGCGCCGGCUCCACCCACCUUCCCCGCCGCCAUAAAAACUGGCCAGCGUCGCCGCGCCACACUGGCCCCUCUCCACCCCGAUGUGGAUGCCUCCCCACCAGCUCCCUCCCCAUCAACUCCCUGCUAGCCACCUCCCCGUGCCCCACUUCCCUCCCCGCACCGCCCCACCUCCCUCCCCACCUUCUCCAGCGCGGCGCGCCCCUACCCUUCUCACCUUCUCCGGCAGCGCCGCCCACAACCACCUCCGACAGCGUCCCACAAGAACCACCUCUCUACGCCGGUCGUCGCCCUCCUCUUUCUCAAGCGCCAUCCAGCCGGUCAUGGCGGGAUCCGGCCGCCCACGGUCGCCGACGCGGCCUUAGCCACCAGAUCCGGCUGCCCUCGGCCGCCGGUGUGGCCUUAGCCUCCCUCGGCCGAAUCCAUCGGCUGCCGAAUCCAGCGCCGGCAAGCGGAUGGGCCGCCACCCCUGCAACACCGUAGAGAGAUCCGGUGGGUUGCCUCCGCGCCCACUUCUCCUCCGCCUCCCUCUCGAGAAAACUCCUCUUCCCACGGAUCCAUCAGCCACCGAAUCCCGCGCCAACUGGCUGCUGCGGCCCCACGCCACCAGAUCCUGUCAAGGGGUUGCUCCGUCGGGCUUCUACCGACGAGAUGGCGGCAGGAGGUCACCUCCUCCGUGCAGUGCACACCGAUGCACAUGCAGUUCAUCAACACAGCGCGCAAACCCCCCACACCGGUUCACUGCCAUAGCAGUUUGGUGUGUGUGCCAAACAAGUCUUGCAAUUCCAUUACACUCUCCUCUGGUAGGAGCCUGCCCAGCCUCUGCUUCAUCCACUUGGUGAGCAAUUCCAAC
rnacentral:rRNA from 1 species